CACGUAGGGCGCAAGCGUUGUCCGGAAUUAUUGGGCGUAAAGAGCUCGUAGGCGGUCCGUCACGUCCGCUGUGAAAACCCAGGGCUCAACCCUGGGCUUGCAGUGGAUACGGGCAGACUAGAGGUAGGUAGGGGAGAAUGGAAUUCCCGGUGUAGCGGUGAAAUGCGUAGAUAUCUGGAGGAACACCGGUGGCGAAGGCGGCGUCCUGGACCAACACUGACACUGAUGAGCGAAAGCCAGGGGAGCAAACGGG
rnacentral:rRNA from 1 species